UAUAUACUCCCUUCGUCCCAAAAUAAGUGACUCAAAAGUGACUCAACUUUGUACUAAAGUUAGUGCAAAGUCGAGUCAUUUUUGAAUCGCUUAUUUUGGGACGGAGGGAGUAGUAU
rnacentral:pre_miRNA from 1 species